rnacentral:rRNA from 1 species
GCUUGCUAUUUUGAGACCGGCGCACGGGUGCGUAACGCGUAUGCAAUCUGCCUUGUACUGGGGGAUAGCCCGGAGAAAUCCGGAUUAAUACCCCAUGGUAUAUAAGAGUGGCAUCACUUUUCUAUUAAAGAAUUUCGGUACAAGAUGAGCAUGCGUCCCAUUAGCUAGUUGGUAUGGUAACGGCAUACCAAGGCUUUGAUGGGUAGGGGUCCUGAGAGGGAGAUCCCCCACACUGGUACUGAGACACGGACCAGACUCCUACGGGAGGCAGCAGUGAGGAAUAUUGGUCAAUGGACGCAAGUCUGAACCAGCCAUGCCGCGUGCAGGAUGACGGUCCUAUGGAUUGUAAACUGCUUUUGUACGGGAAGAAACGACUCUACGUGUAGAGUUUUGACGGUACCGUAAGAAUAAGGAUCGGCUAACUCCGUGCCAGCAGCCGCGGUAAUACGGAGGAUCCAAGCGUUAUCCGGAAUCAUUGGGUUUAAAGGGUCCGUAGGCGGUUUUAUAAGUCAGUGGUGAAAUCCGGCAGCUCAACUGUCGAACUGCCAUUGAUACUGUAGAACUUGAAUUAUUGUGAAGUAACUAGAAUAUGUAGUGUAGCGGUGAAAUGCUUAGAUAUUACAUGGAAUACCAAUUGCGAAGGCAGGUUACUAACAAUACAUUGACGCUGAUGGACGAAAGCGUGGGGAGCGAACAGGAUUAGAUACCCUGGUAGUCCACGCCGUAAACGAUGGAUACUAGCUGUUCGGAAGCAAUUCUGAGUGGCUAAGCGAAAGUGAUAAGUAUCCCACCUGGGGAGUACGAACGCAAGUUUGAAACUCAAAGGAAUUGACGG